UGGGGAAUAUUGGGCAAUGGGCGCAAGCCUGACCCAGCAACGCCGCGUGAGGGAAGAAGGUCUUCGGAUUGUAAACCUCUGUCCUUGGGGACGAAAAAAAUGACGGUACCCAAGGAGGAAGCUCCGGCUAACUACGUGCCAGCAGCCGCGGUAAUACGUAGGGAGCGAGCGUUGUCCGGAAUUACUGGGCGUAAAGGGUGCGUAGGCGGCUUGGCAAGUCAGAUGUGAAAGCCCCGGGCUUAACUCGGGAGUUGCAUUUGAAACUGCUAGGCUUGAGUGCAGGAGAGGAAAGCGGAAUUCCUAGUGUAGCGGUGAAAUGCGUAGAUAUUAGGAGGAACACCAGUGGCGAAGGCGGCUUUCUGGACUGUAACUGACGCUGAGGCACGAAAGCGUGGGGAGCAAACA
rnacentral:rRNA from 1 species